rnacentral:miRNA from 1 species
GUGCGAUGAUGACUACUUUCU